CUCCCUACCCUACUAUGAGUCACCCCCCUUAUAUCAGAGAAAACAUUCGGCAUUUGUUUUUUUGGGGAUUGGCUAACUUCACUUACCAUUAUCUUCUCCUACGCCAUCCAUUUACCUGCAAAUGCCAUAAUUUUAUUCUCUUUUAUUUCGAGUAAUAUUCCAUUGUGUAUAUAUGCCUCAUCUGUUUUCUUACACCUACUUUAAAGUCUCUACCCCUUUCCCAUAUAGGUGUCAGUAUAACUAUCACAAGGCUGUAGAUAUUUUUUCUAAAAAUUUAUUCCUUAACCAUCCUUCCUAAAUUUUCAAGUUUGAUCAAAUCCAUUGGCCAAUUCUAACUUUAAAUUCUGAAAUCAUGAUAGAAAUUUGGACCUACUUUUUCUUCCAUUAUGUGCAAGGUCUCUGGUUUAAUUCCUAGGUCUUUGAUCCACUGGGAAUUGAGUUUUGUGCAUGGUAAGAGAUAGAGGUUUAAUUUCAUUUUGUUUCAUGUGGAUUUCCAGUUUUCCUAGUACCGUUUGUUGAAGAGGCUAUCUUUUCUCCAAUGUACAUUUUUGGCACCUUUGUCUAAUAUAAAAUAACUUUAGUUAUGUGGGUAAGUCUCUGUGUCCUCUAUUCUGUACCAUUGGUCUACCAAUCUGUUUUCAUACCAAUACCAUACUAUUUUUGUUACUAUUGCUCUGUAGUAGAGUUUAGGGUCUGGAAUAACAAUGCUACCAGCUUCACUCUUCUUGCUAAGGAUUGCUUGGGCUAUUCUGGGUCUCUUAUUUUUCCAGAUUAAUU
rnacentral:lncRNA from 1 species